UGCCUUGCGGUGCGGGGUGGUGCGGGUGCUUCUUGUGAGCGUUUGCCGAGAGAGUUGUGUGGAAGGUGGGGGCCUGGUGGGCGACACGACUGGAGCACAAGGAGGAGGAGGAGGACCAGCUAGGAGCCGGUGCUCGUCGCUCGUCGCUCGUCGCUGAUCGCUGGUCGCUGGUGGGCGAUCAGGCGGCAAGAGUCGUCGGCACGUGGGGGUUCGGGUUCCGGGUUCCGGGUUCCGGGUCGGCGGCG
rnacentral:lncRNA from 1 species